rnacentral:lncRNA from 1 species
GUUUCGUGGGUGCAACUUUGACCAUUGAUUAAACGCUGAUAAAUUUGUUUCUGGACAUGUUGAUGGUCUGAUCAUGUAGUACAAAUACAAGACUACACGAUCAAACAAUAAACAUCAUCAUAACAUGCAUAACGAACGAGAUCUGGAGCCUUGAACAAGUUGUCAGAGCUGUUCUUCAUUUUCUGGGUUAGCCAUAAAUGAAGAACAAUUUGACUAGCCUACUUUGGGCUUCCACUACUUGUUUCUCGUGUAACAUUUUAGUGAUUUAAGGCUUCCAGUGUGUAGACAACAUACGCAAGAACAGAUCUAUUACAUCCAAUCAUCAUAUCAACAACAAAAUAGCCAAAACAGGUCCGGUCAAACCAUGUCAGAAGCCACGCUCAUGAACUUUCUGGGUUACCCUAAAAGCUCAUCCGUGAACUUUCUGCCUGGUUUGACCAUCCCCCAAUUCCAGUAUGUUUGUGAUAAAAACGAUCUAAGUGCAUCAACAUGUAGUAUAACUUCUAUACAAUAACCAUAUCACAACAACAAACACAAAUCAACAAUACGCUAUGAGAUCAGAGGCCUCAAAAGCCUUGUCAGCCCAUUUCUAGGGCAAGAUUUGGGUUACCCAGAUUUUUUCCAGUCAUGGUCGGUCCACGACUUUUGACUAACAAUAUCUUGCAAUAUAGACCAGAACUAAGUCUGAUUAUUGUUCCAGAUUAAAGACUACAUUUCAGACUACAUAUUUAAACCUUUAAAAUACAAAAAGCAUACAUGAACAAGGAUAUGUGGUCACUGACAUUGGUUGUCAGACCACAAUUUGAAUUUUUUCCAGAUUUGGCAAAUCUUCAAAUCCGAGCCUCUAGAUGUUAUGGAUCUAACAUCUAGCAACCCAGAUCAUCAUUAGACACCUUAUAUAACAUGUUUAACAAAAAAAAUCUAACAUCUAACAACAGAUUUAUGGUCAGAUUUCAUGGUUAGGGUUUAUACCUUAUUUGAUCAAUCUUUGAUUCUGUGCUUAUGAUAUGUUAUGGUUGAUCGUGGGCAUGUUCUUAGGGACUGAUAUGCUUAUGAAAUUCGUGUGUUUUAGAAAGAGAAGCUCAAGGAUGAGAGUUGGACAAAAAUAAGUGAGCAAUUAAUUUUCUCUCUCUUUCAAUCUAUAUAUAGAAGUGCUAGAUACAUGUAAUGGCUUAUAUAGAGACUUGUUGCUGUCAUUUUUCAUCACAUGGGGUUGUUGGAUUUGGUCACCAACUUCCCCUAUUGUCAAAACCUAUACUAGCUUCAAUAAUGCAACUACGGGUAAAAAGGUCAUUUGGCGUAAACCUUUAAUGGCAUUCUUGUCAUUCGACAAACCCUUAGGGUUUAACCCUAAGGUUUAGCACCAAAACAAUUGUAGAAUUUCCAAUUUAGGGUUUGCACAAAAAUUAAAUAAAUUUUAGUUUCUAAAAUUUUGAAAUUAGGGUUUCCUUAAUUAAAUUAAUUUUCUAAUUACUUUAUACAGGAAUAUUAGGGUUUAAAAUCACUAAUUAUAAUUAACUUUUCU